GCUGCAGUUUCAGGACCGGAGGCUGCAGUUUCAGGACCGCAGUUCUAGGACCCUUCAAUUUUCGUCACAGCGCCACCCACGGUUAGAAGGAGUAGAGAGGAUGAGAUGAGAUAAAGUGAGUAUCUACGGUUAGGAGGAGUAACCUUAGAGAGGACCAGAUGACAGAACGAUGCUUAUUUCAAUACAAAGCGGGCGAUCACUGCCAGACAUGCUGCAACAAAUUUCAUUGUCCGUUCUGCAGCUUAACAGUUUAUCAACCCACGAAGUUGAGCAAAGUACAGGCUCACCUGGACAGCCACUUCACUCGUGCACUUGGCCAUGAAGACAUGGCCAGAGAUUUGCCUGCUGGACUAAUGAGGCCAGAAGCCUGCUCCAGGGAACUCUCCAGCCAGUAUUCAGAGUACCAAAAUGGAGAGCCCCAACCGAGGAUGUUCCUGCUCACAUCCAGGCAGUCAGUGAUCGUACACAGAAUGAAGAAAAACUUGUGAACUUCAUCAUACGGUCACAGGGAGCAGCGCAGCAUUUGGUGGCACUCAUAUAUAGAUUGGCUGUGCUAAAGGGGCUGUCCUCACAGGAGGCUGAGCAGGAAUAUCUUUCCGGUCCAGUCUAUGAUCAAAGUGAAGUGGAGGACUUCAUACAGAGGCUGGCAAGGAGAAGGAAGAUGGAGGGAUAGAAU